CAUUUUAGCACCUUAAUUUAUCAAGGGUUAAAGGACUUAUGCCUCAGCAAGAUUUGGAAAAACGUGUCCAUGCUUUUAUCUUCACUAGACUCGACUACUGUAGCGGUGUCUUUACAAGUCUCCC